rnacentral:rRNA from 1 species
UGGGGAAUAUUGCACAAUGGGCGCAAGCCUGAUGCAGCCAUGCCGCGUGUAUGAAGAAGGCCUUCGGGUUGUAAAGUACUUUCAGUCGGGAGGAAGGUGUCAAGGUUAAUAACCUUGUCGAUUGACGUUACCCGCAGAAGAAGCACCGGCUAACUCCGUGCCAGCAGCCGCGGUAAUACGGAGGGUGCAAGCGUUAAUCGGAAUUACUGGGCGUAAAGCGCACGCAGGCGGUCUGUCAAGUCGGAUGUGAAAUCCCCGGGCUCAACCUGGGAACUGCAUUCGAAACUGGCAGGCUAGAGUCUUGUAGAGGGGGGUAGAAUUCCAGGUGUAGCGGUGAAAUGCGUAGAGAUCUGGAGGAAUACCGGUGGCGAAUGCGGCCCCCUGGACAAAGACUGACGCUAAGGUGCGAAAGCGUGGGGAGCAAACAGG